UGUUCCAACAUACGCCAUACAUAAAAAAGGAAACUCAACACAUACAAGGUAUUUCUAGACAAAGCUUUCAUUUCAAUCAUCUUUCCUGUCAUUUAAAAAUCAUCAUUUUAAGAGAAAAUCCUGAAAUCUUCACGGCAACUCCAGGGAGGGAGAUUUCUGCCAAGUUGAAAGACAAGCCUUUUAAUUAGACAAAGCAAGACUCAAGAAGGAACCAUCAGUGCCCACCAGCAAAGCGGCAGUGCAGACUCCCCGCCUAGUGCCAGCCUGGCAAUCCACGCUGCUAUGGCAAAGGCAAACAAGAAGAGCUGCUACGCUGAGGCUAGCUUGGGAAAUUUACACCAUCCCGAGGGGCCAUCUUCUCACAGUGCUGGCAGGCAGGCAGCGUGCAGCUAAACUUGAGAAGGAAUGCGUGUACCCAGACCCUCUGGAGUAUGGCAGAUACAUCAUUAUAAAGGUAUUAUUUACACUUUCAAUGCAGAACCAGCUCACACAUCAUGUUUGAAUAGAACAGAACAGACUAUUUUAGUUGGAAGGGACCUAUGAUGAUCAUUUAAUUCA